AGCAGCCGCGGUAAUUCCAGCUCCAAUAGCGUAUAUUAAAGUUGUUGCAGUUAAAAAGCUCGUAGUUGAAUUUCGGGAUCAAUAUGUUUGGUCGUGCCUCGGUACGUACUAGCUUAUUGGUUUCUCCUUUCUGAAGAACCAUGAUGUCAUUCAUUUGGUGUCGUGGGGAAUCAGGACUGUUACUUUGAAAAAAUUAGAGUGUUUAAAGCAGGCUCACGCUUGAAUACAUUAGCAUGGAAUAAUGAAAUAGGACGUUUGAUUCUAUUUUGUUGGUUUCUAGGAUCGACGUAAUGAUUAAUAGGGAUAGUUGGGGGCAUUAGUAUUCAAUUGUCAGAGGUGAAAUUCUUGGAUUUAUUGAAGACUAACUACUGCGAAAGCAUUUGCCAAGGAUGUUUUCAUUAAUCAAGAACGAAAGUUAGGGGAUCGAAGACGAUCAGAUACCGUCGUAGUCUUAACCAUAAACUAUGCCGACUAGGGAUCGGAUGAUGUUAAUUUUUUAAUGACUCAUUCGGCGCCUUAA
rnacentral:rRNA from 1 species